GAGAAUGAGAGUGGGACCCACACAAAAUCAACCAAUGACCAGACGCCUUUUCGUAUGGCAACUUCCAUAACCGCUUUCAUCACGAACUCAUACACACCGCUUCACCACUCUCCCCCUAUUUUCUCUGUUCCAUUUCUCACUCCCACACUAAACUCCAUAACACUAUAAAUAUCUCAAUCUAAUUACUCUCAAACCGAAUUCGAAACCACUUUCUCUCUCUCUAAUUUCGAAACUCACCUCAAUCAAAACCAGCAGCAGCAGAUCUAGUAAGAUGCAAUCGGUGAAGAAGAAGCUUCGAUCGGAACUCCCUCGUCGAAGAAGAACUCUUAUAUCUCCUGUUCUAAUCUGGAAUCGAAGUAAGAAUUCUGGUUUUUUUGCUAAUUCGUUUUCAGUGGAUUCCAGUUCUUGCUCUUACUUUGGUAAUGGUGAUGGUGAGGUUUCCUGUCAAUCCAGUCGAGUUUCGGUUGGAUCGGAGAGUUGUAAGAGGAAGUCGAUUCUUCAGAAACGAGAGUUUGAUGAGCUUGCGGUGAAAUCGUGUUGUGGUGUUGAAGCUUCGGAGGUCUCUGAAUUUUCCUGUGUUGAGUCGAAUCGGAAUUGCGGUGCUGAAAAUGAAGGUUUGGAAGAUAGAAGGUUGAGGUUGAAGAGUAAGAGAGGGAAGGGGAAUGAAAUUGUGGAGGAAUUUGAUGGAAGAAGAGAAGAUGAGGAGGAAGAAGAAGAUUCUAAGGCUGUCAUUUCAGUUUCUUGUAUCAAACAAGUUUCUGGCGAUGGAAAUGGUAUUGUUUCAAAGGAAAAUGAAGUUGUUUCGUGCAUUUCAGCUUCGGAAUCGUGUUUCGGAGUUAAUUUAGGUGAGAAGACGAAGCAAGAUAUCAACAAUGCACAGGAAUUAGAGUUAUGUUGCGUUUCGAGAAAUUGUUUGGAUAACAAUUUUACAGUUUCGAACUCUGAAUCUACCAUAGACCAGAGGCCGGAGAUCAGCUUCGGCAUUAGCUCAGACCUUGCUUGUGCUGAGAAUUACUCCGAUACUGAAGUUUCGUCUACUCACGAAACUGCAUGCUCCGAGCUUCAAUCGGAGAUUUUCCUCGACACUUCCGACUUCGAUUUCUCUGAUUACACUCCGACGAAUUUCGAUUCUGGAAGCGAAUUCUCUGAGAAAUCAGAAGGCGAUUCAGCUUCUUCGCUUACUUUCGCAUUGCUCAUUCAGUACAGAGGUGGAUUUUUCAGAUCAACAUCUGCUCAAGAUACAGAACUCGAUUCGACCUACCUAGAAGAGGACAUAGACCAGUCUGAAUACAUGAGAUUCGAAGACGAGGCCGAAGAGGAGAGCUACCAGAUGUUGAGAAAUAGAGAAAGGAGGCGCGUGGUUUUGCGUGACUACAUAGAGGAAUAUUCCUCUACGACGGAGUACGGCAGUCUUAUCCUCCACCAGCGGCGUAAAAUGAUCCAGUGGAUUAUCAGGCGCUGCCAGGAAACAGAGCUUCAGCAAGAGACAGCGUUUUUAGGAGUUUGCUUGCUCGAUCGAUUUCUAAGCAAAGGGUUCUUUAAAAACAGAAGGAUCCUUCAGAUAGUUGGUAUAGCUUGUCUUGCUCUGGCAACCAGAAUGGAAGAAAAUCAGCCCUAUAACAGCGUUCGGCAAAAAAGUAUCUCAUUUGGAAAAGAUACAUACAGCAGAUGCGAAGUUGUUGCCAUGGAAUGGCUAGUUCAGGAGGUUCUCGACUUCCGGUGUUUCCUCCCCACCAUCUACAAUUUCUUAUGGUUCUACUUAAAAGCUGCAACAGCUGAUGAAGAGGUGGAGAAGAAGGCCAAAUACUUGGCAUCCCUAUUGCUACCAGACCGUAUGCAAAUGUACUUUAUGCCCUCAACAGUUGCAGCUGCAGUAGUAAUCCUGGUCUGUUUAAAAAACAGAUUAGCAUUACCCGUUAAACGUGUGAUAGAGACUCAUAUCAGAACAAAAAAAUGCAACGAUUUACAUGAAUGCGUUGAGAGCCUCGAGUAUUUGUGGAAGUAUAUAUGAUUGAUCAGCUUCUAUUACAAGCUAAAAGGAAAUCAUAUAAUCAAAACAAUCAAUUACCAUACCAUUCUGCUCGCUUACACACUCAUUCAUCAUAAAGACAAGGUUGAAAGGUGACCAAAUUGACCUUUCUUUCUACAAGAGAAUACCAUCAUCAUAUAAUAGGUAACGUUGCAAUAGCCAGACAAGAGGGAUUCGAACAAAAAAUUUGAUGACACAAAUCUUGUAUUAACACCCACAAACAAUUCCACAUUGCAAAAAAAUAAAAUGAAAAAAUCGAUGGCGAAUUCAUUUGUAUCAUAUAAUUCCAAGCUUUUGGUCAUCAACUGAAUUAACUGGGACAGUUGGAGGUUCUCUUGCCGAGGCAUCGUCGAGCUGGAAAUGAGCAAAGUCACUGAUGAUUGCUGUUCUUUCUCUGUAAAUGGUCUCUUUCUUUUCCUCUUCGGCUUUUUCGACUUUCUCCUUAGUCAAUAUGGUUACGUCUUCAGCUGCCUUUGCAAAUGCACUAAAUGCACUUGAAACCCAAGAAGCUCCAGUUAAUACAUAAGGGUUGUUCAUAAUAGCAGAUCCUGCACUGCUUGCCUUUUGCUCAGCAACUGCCAAGGCGGAUUUUGUCUUUUCGGAUACUUGGUAUCGUUCGUCCAUCUCUCUCACCUUGUCAUUCACCACUGCCUUUCCGAUGCUUAGUUUUUCGCUUAGACCAAUCUUGUUGUCAAUGGAAGCGACUGUGGCCGAAGCAUUUGAUAUCAAGUGAUGUUUUUCAUCCAAGGCUUUUGCUUUGUUAACAGCAUCUUUUCCUAAUAUAAAACCCUUUGCAAGCAUACUGCUCACAACAUCUUCAGCCUUCUUAACUGCAGGGCUGCUAAGAGCUAGGUCUUUUUCCUUCACAAUGAAAACAAAUAUACAUAUGUAAUUAAGUGGAAUUUCAAUUAAAAGAAAAUGAGAGAAAUAAAUAGAGUGUUUUCUUUAAAC